AGUAAAGUGAUGUCACAUAACGGACCCACAAGUGCCGCUGCUGAAAGUGUGCCCACACGGACCCAAUCCAUGUAUUUGACGGGUCAGAGUAAGUUAAGGCAAGACGAUAGUAAAAGCAGCCAGCAAUGUUAAUUACAAAGAGGGUAACACAUAUGAGUUUCGAGCACCGAACCCAAAAGUAGCUAUAGUUCUUAUCUUUUU
rnacentral:misc_RNA from 1 species